rnacentral:rRNA from 1 species
ACAGGGAUUGCCCUAGUAACGGCGAGUGAAGCGGCAACAGCUCAAAUUUGAAAUCUGGCCCCCGGGUCCGAGUUGUAAUUUGUAGAGGAUGCUUUUGGUGCGGUACCUUCCGAGUUCCCUGGAACGGGACGCCAUAGAGGGUGAGAGCCCCGUCUGGUUGGACGCCAAUCCUUUGUAAAGCUCCUUCAACGAGUCGAGUAGUUUGGGAAUGCUGCUCUAAAUGGGAGGUAUAUGUCUUCUAAAGCUAAAUAUUGGCCAGAGACCGAUAGCGCACAAGUAGAGUGAUCGAAAGAUGAAAAGCACUUUGAAAAGAGAGUUAAAAAGUACGUGAAAUUGUUGAAAGGGAAGCGCUCAUGACCAGACUUGGGCUUGGUUGAUCAUCCAGGGUUCUCCCUGGUGCACUCUUCCGGCCCAGGCCAGCAUCAGUUCGCUGUGGGGGAUAAAGGCUUCGGGAAUGUGGCUCCCUCGGGAGUGUUAUAGCCCGUUGUGUAAUACCCUGUGGUGGACUGAGGUUCGCGCAUUCGCAAGGAUGCUGGCGUAAUGGUCAUCAGCGACCCGUCUUGAAACACGGACCAAGGAGUCGUCUUCGUAUGCGAGUGUUCGGGUGUCAAACCCCUACGCGUAAUGAAAGUGAACGCAGGUGAGAGCUUCGGCGCAUCAUCGACCGAUCCUGAUGUUCUCGGAUGGAUUUGAGUAAGAGCAUACGGGGCCGGACCCGAAAGAAGGUGAACUAUGCCUGUAUAGGGUGAAGCCAGAGGAAACUCUGGUGGAGGCUCGCAGCGGUUCUGACGUGCAAAUCGAUCGUCAAAUAUGGGCAUGGGGGCGAAAGACUAAUCGAACCUUCUA